AGGGCACCACCAGGAGUGGAGCCUGCGGCUUAAUUUGACUCAACACGGGAAACCUCACCCGGCCCGGACACGGACAGGAUUGACAGAUCGAUAGCUCUUUCUCGAUUCCGUGGGUGGUGGUGCAUGGCCGUUCUUAGUUGGUGGAGCGAUUUGUCUGGUUAAUUCCGAUAACGAACGAGACUCUGGCAUGCUAACUAGUUACGCGACCCCCCGAGCGGUCGGCGUCCCCCAACUUCUUAGAGGGACAAGUGGCGUUCAGCCACCCGAGAUUGAGCAAUAACAGGUCUGUGAUGCCCUUAGAUGUCCGGGGCUGCACGCGCGCUACACUGACUGGCUCAGCGUGUGCCUACCCUACGCCGGCAGGCGCGGGUAACCCGUUGAACCCCAUUCGUGAUGGGGAUCGGGGAUUGCAAUUAUUCCCCAUGAACGAGGACUUCCCUGAAGUGCGGGUCAUAAGCUUGCGCUUUAUUAACUCGCUGCCCUUUGUACAACCGCUCGUCGCUACUACCGUGUUGGUGG
rnacentral:rRNA from 1 species